UUUUGGGCAAUGGGCGCAAGCCUGAUCCAGCCAUGCCGCGUGGAUGAUGAAGGCCUUAGGGUUGUAAAAUCCUUUCGUCGGGGACGAUAAUGACGGUACCCGAAGAAGAAGCUCCGGCUAACUUCGUGCCAGCAGCCGCGGUAAUACGAAGGGGGCUAGCGUUGUUCGGAUUUACUGGGCGUAAAGCGCGUGUAGGCGGGUCGUUAAGUUAGGGGUGAAAUCCCGGAGCUCAACUCCGGAACUGCCUCUAAAACUGGCGACCUUGAGCAGAGGAGAGGCGAGCGGAAUUCCGAGUGUAGAGGUGAAAUUCGUAGAUAUUCGGAGGAACACCAGUGGCGAAGGCGGCUCGCUGGACUCUUGCUGACGCUGAGACGCGAAAGCGUGGGGAGCAAAC
rnacentral:rRNA from 1 species